ACAGGAUGAGGAAAAGCAAGAUGGCGUCUGACGAAAAAAACGUCGUGUUGACAUUAGUUAUGUGUGUUUAAUCAGCGCGUACAUGUACUAAUAGAUGUAUUUUUUUGGAGUAAGAAAUGUGAAUAUUUGUAAGUGUCCGGACACAUUAGUCUCAGCGCACUUUGCUACUUUUUGUGCGAGUUUAGCUUGCUAAUUAAUCUAGCGUAGCUUGCUAGUUAGCUUAGCUUGCUAGUUAGCUUAGCUUGUUAGCGGCUAACUAACAAGUAUGAGAGUAAAAUGUUGUGAUUGUGUGAAAAUGUGCGAGAGAAUGAUAGCAGAGUACGAGGAGGAACUUUCUCCCACAAAAGAGAAGGAGCGACAACGUCAACUACUGGACGCAGUUUGCGAGAAACGUCAAGUUGUGUCAUACAGAACUGAAGUUCGAUGGAGCCAGGCUGCCCUGAUGGAACCAUUGCUGCGGGGUAAGUGAGAGAUUCCUGGGACAAAUGGAGAAUCAUGUGCCUUUCAGUCCUUUCCAUCGAGGACGUGGAAGACAUCUACCUAUUUGGAACCGUGAUCGCGGGGCACCUGCUGAUUGAGCUGGGCAUUGCUCUGGUGUAUUGUCAAAUUGACAAGACGAUGGCAGACACUCUAAGGGCCCAAAGCCUGUUUGUUGAAAAGGAAAGUUUGGGCGUGGCUGUGGGAUCACAGACUGUGGCGAUUUCUGAACUGAAUCGCAAGAUGGAUCACAUCAUGGAGAAGCUGGUUGAAUAGGAAAAAUUGGACAUGAAAGCCAACAUGUACAAAUAGAAUAGACAAGCCAUCGUAAUGUCUGCUCGCGGAAAAAAAACAACUUAAUCUACGAUUUGACUCCCUCGAACGGCCUUGACGCUGCAACAACAGGAGCAGGCUGUUCUGAAAACAUCCCAGAGGACACUUCAAUGAUGGACACUUUUUACUUCCCUCCCUCCUCAACGACACCUGGAGUCGAACUUUUGCUUGCAUGUAAAACGGUUCCAGGCCUAUGGACACUACAACAACACAACCAAGACAAUGGGCAUACUCAACACACACACACACACACACACACACACACACACCCACACACAUAUGAUUAAAUGUAACAUGUUUAUGUGUGCAUGGCAUGGAGGUAUUUUCCCACUCCAGACUAGGCUCCCUUAGGAACUCAGUCUAGAUCAUGGGUGUCAAACUCUGGCCCAUGGGCCAAAUUUGCCCCGCCGUGUAAUUUCAUUUGGCCCUUGAGGCAAUAUCAAAUUAACAUUAGAGCUGGCCCGCCGCUGUAACACCGCAUUCACCACUAAUACUCAUACUCGUCAACCCUCCCGAUUUUCCCGGGAGACUCCCGAAGUUCAGUGCCCCUCCCAAAUUUCUCCCGAUUUCCACCCGGACAAUAAUAUUGGGGGCGGGUUGUAAAAGCACUGCCUUUGGCGUUCUCUACAUGUCGCCACGUCCCCUUUUCCUCCAUACAAACAGCAUGCCGGCCCACUCACAUAAUAUAUGCGGCUCAUACACACACACAAGUGUAUGCAAGGCAUACUUGGUCAACAGCCAUACAGGUCACACUGAGGGUGGCCGUAUAAACAACUUUAACACUUUUACAAAUAUACGCCACACUGUGAACCCACAGCAAACAAGAAUGACCAACACAUUUCGGGAGAACAGCCGCACCGUAACACAACAUAAACACAACCGAACAAAUACCCAGAACCCCUUGCAUCACUAACUCUUCCGGGAUGCUACAAUAUACACCCCCGCUACCACCAAACCCCGCCCCAACUCAAACCCGCAAACGAAAAGAGGCAUUCAAUUUGUAUUUUUAUUUUAUGUGAUAUGCCGUUGAUAUUUUUUAAUUAUUAUUAUUUUAAACUUGAUUUUGCAUGUCACUAUAAAGUUAUAUAAGCCUUGCUUGGUCAAUAUUCAAUGCAAAACUUGUUUGGGUCCCUAUUAAAGGAUUAAUUUGUUCAACCUCGGCCCGCGGCUUCGUUCAGUUUUAAAUUUUGGCCCACUCUGUAUUAGAGUUUGACACCCCUAGUCUAGAUUAUAUAUUUUUUUACUCAUCUUCUUCCCCAGCGUUUUACCUUUUUUCCACCUUUUACUAUUGGCGACCCAUUAGCGAUCCUGUUCUGUAACCCUGUACAUCCUUUGUUUGUCUAAUCUUGAACGGGUUUGUGCUGAAAACAUAGUUUCGUUGUACUUGUUGCAAUAACAAUAAAGACCUAUCCUAUCCUA